rnacentral:rRNA from 1 species
AAUGAACGUUGGCGGCGUGGAUUAGGCGUGCAAGUCGAGCGCGAACCCCGCAAGGGGUGAAAGCGGCGAAAGGGAGAGUAACGCGUGGGUAUUUACCCUCGGGACUGGGAUAGCUGCGGGAAACUGCAGGUAAUACCAGAUGACGUCCCCGGACCAAAGGUGUGAUUCCGCCUGAGGAUAAGCCCGCGUCCUAUUAGCUAGUUGGUGAGGUAAUGGCUCACCAAGGCAAUGAUGGGUACUGGGUGUGAGAGCACGACCCAGCUCACUGGGACUGAGACCCUGCCCAGACACCUACGGGUGGCUGCAGUCGAGAAUCUUCGGCAAUGGGCGCAAGCCUGACCGAGCGACGCCGCGUGUGGGAUGAAGGCCUUCGGGUUGUAAACCGCUGUCAGAGGGGAGGAAUGGGCGUAGGGUAAUCUCUUCGUUUUGACCUAUCCUCAGAGGAAGUACGGGCUAAGUUCGUGCCAGCCGCCGCUGUAA